AUGUGGCUGCUGGGGCCGCUGUGCCUGCUGCUGAGCAGCGCCGCGGGAAAGUAUCUGGAAAAAUAGAUGACAGCCAGAAAGAGAGCUUGGAGAAAAUGACUCCAAGGAGAAGGUAGUCAUUUCCUAGAGUCUGGCUUGUCAGUUCCAAGGCUAAGUCGAAAUGUGGCCCGACCUUCUUCCCCUGUGCCAGCGGCAUCCACUGCAUCAUUGGUCGCUUCCGGUGCAAUGGGUUUGAGGACUGUCCCGAUGGCAGCGAUGAAGAGAACUGCACAGCAAACCCUCUGCUUUGCUCUACCGCCCGCUACCACUGCAAGAACGGCCUCUGUAUUGACAAGAGCUUCAUCUGCGAUGGACAGAAUAACUGUCAAGACAACAGUGAUGAGGAAAGCUGUGAAAGUUCUCAAGGCCUGCGUGGUAUGACCUUCCUCCACCGCCCUACUCUUCUGACACGGAAUCUCUGAAUCAAGCCGACCUGCCCCCCUACCGCUCCCGGUCCGGGAGUGCCAACAGUGCCAGCUCCCAGGCAGCCAGCAGCCUCCUGAGCGUGGAAGACACCAGC
rnacentral:sRNA from 1 species